AAACCAUGCAUCGGGCAUUUUCUAAUUAACUCCUUGAAUUGCUCCUAUGCUUCAUAUAAUGUUUCAUCCUUAGAUUGCCGAAAGCACAUAAUAUCGUUCCUCAGUUU
rnacentral:snoRNA from 1 species